rnacentral:rRNA from 5 species
AAAUUGAAGAGUUUGAUCAUGGCUCAGAUUGAACGCUGGCGGCAGGCCUAACACAUGCAAGUCGAACGGUAACAGGAAACAGCUUGCUGUUUCGCUGACGAGUGGCGGACGGGUGAGUAAUGUCUGGGAAACUGCCUGAUGGAGGGGGAUAACUACUGGAAACGGUAGCUAAUACCGCAUAACGUCGCAAGACCAAAGAGGGGGACCUUCGGGCCUCUUGCCAUCGGAUGUGCCCAGAUGGGAUUAGCUUGUUGGUGGGGUAACGGCUCACCAAGGCGACGAUCCCUAGCUGGUCUGAGAGGAUGACCAGCCACACUGGAACUGAGACACGGUCCAGACUCCUACGGGAGGCAGCAGUGGGGAAUAUUGCACAAUGGGCGCAAGCCUGAUGCAGCCAUGCCGCGUGUAUGAAGAAGGCCUUCGGGUUGUAAAGUACUUUCAGCGGGGAGGAAGGGAGUAAAGUUAAUACCUUUGCUCAUUGACGUUACCCGCAGAAGAAGCACCGGCUAACUCCGUGCCAGCAGCCGCGGUAAUACGGAGGGUGCAAGCGUUAAUCGGAAUUACUGGGCGUAAAGCGCACGCAGGCGGUUUGUUAAGUCAGAUGUGAAAUCCCCGGGCUCAACCUGGGAACUGCAUCUGAUACUGGCAAGCUUGAGUCUCGUAGAGGGGGGUAGAAUUCCAGGUGUAGCGGUGAAAUGCGUAGAGAUCUGGAGGAAUACCGGUGGCGAAGGCGGCCCCCUGGACGAAGACUGACGCUCAGGUGCGAAAGCGUGGGGAGCAAACAGGAUUAGAUACCCUGGUAGUCCACGCCGUAAACGAUGUCGACUUGGAGGUUGUGCCCUUGAGGCGUGGCUUCCGGAGCUAACGCGUUAAGUCGACCGCCUGGGGAGUACGGCCGCAAGGUUAAAACUCAAAUGAAUUGACGGGGGCCCGCACAAGCGGUGGAGCAUGUGGUUUAAUUCGAUGCAACGCGAAGAACCUUACCUGGUCUUGACAUCCACAGAACUUUCCAGAGAUGGAUUGGUGCCUUCGGGAACUGUGAGACAGGUGCUGCAUGGCUGUCGUCAGCUCGUGUUGUGAAAUGUUGGGUUAAGUCCCGCAACGAGCGCAACCCUUAUCCUUUGUUGCCAGCGGUCCGGCCGGGAACUCAAAGGAGACUGCCAGUGAUAAACUGGAGGAAGGUGGGGAUGACGUCAAGUCAUCAUGGCCCUUACGACCAGGGCUACACACGUGCUACAAUGGCGCAUACAAAGAGAAGCGACCUCGCGAGAGCAAGCGGACCUCAUAAAGUGCGUCGUAGUCCGGAUUGGAGUCUGCAACUCGACUCCAUGAAGUCGGAAUCGCUAGUAAUCGUGGAUCAGAAUGCCACGGUGAAUACGUUCCCGGGCCUUGUACACACCGCCCGUCACACCAUGGGAGUGGGUUGCAAAAGAAGUAGGUAGCUUAACCUUCGGGAGGGCGCUUACCACUUUGUGAUUCAUGACUGGGGUGAAGUCGUAACAAGGUAACCGUAGGGGAACCUGCGGUUGGAUCACCUCCUUACCUUAAAGAAGC